rnacentral:miRNA from 1 species
GUUAAUUAAACUAUGGUCCUAUUA